rnacentral:rRNA from 1 species
AUACGGAGGGUGCAAGCGUUACUCGGAAUCACUGGGCGUAAAGCGCGCGCAGGCGGCUUGAUAAGUUGGAUGUGAAAGCCUACGGCUCAACCGUAGAACUGCAUCCAAAACUGUCAGGCUAGAGAGUGGGAGAGGAAGAUGGAAUUAGUUGUGUAGGGGUAAAAUCCGUAGAGAUAACUAGGAAUACCAAAAGCGAAGGCAAUCUUCUGGAACACUACUGACGCUGAGGCGCGAAGGCGUGGGGAGCAAACAGGAUUAGAAACCCCGGUAGUCC